UCAAUCAAAUGGUUAGAUUGAAGUGUGUAAAGGAUUUUGUAGGUUAAGGUCUCAAAAAUUGGAGUUUGAAGAUCAAUGGAUAUUUCUAAGAUCUCUAGUAAUCUAUCAAUUGGGUUGAAGUGAUAUUUUUUUGGGUAGAUAUUAGACUCAAUUUUAAAAAAUUUAGGUAAAAUUUGGGAGCAAUUCAAUGGUUCAAAAAGAAAAAAUUGGCACUAGAAGUUGAGUAUUUAGAUUGGAGAAGAUGGCCG
rnacentral:lncRNA from 1 species